CGGUCUCGAUUUAUCGGGAUAGUGGCGAACGGGUGAGUAACACGUAAGUAACCUACCCUUAAGUAGGGGAUAACCCUGAGAAAUCGGAGCUAAUACCUUAUGUGGUGAUGGGGCUAAUGCUGCAUCACUAAAGCCUUAGGGCGCUUGAGGAUGGGCUUGCGUCCGAUUAGCUAGUUGGUAGGGUAAUGGUUUACCAAGGCGAUGAUCGGUAGCUGGUUUGAGAGGAUGGCCAGCCACACUGGGAUUGAGAUACGGCCCAGACUCCUACGGGAGGCAGCAGCAAGGAAUAUUGUGCAAUGGGCGAAAGCCUGACACAGCGACGCCGCGUGGGGGAAGAAGGCCUUCGGGUUGUAAACCCCUUUUCUCAGGGAAGAAUAAUGACGGUACCUGAGGAAUAAGUCACGGCUAACUACGUGCCAGCAGCCGCGGUAAUACGUAGGUGGCAAGCGUUAUCCGGAUUUACUGGGUGUAAAGAGGGCGCGGGCGGCUUUUCAAGUCGAAUAUAAAAUCUCCCGGCUUAACUGGGAGGGAUUAUUCGAUACUGUUGGGCUAGAGAGCAGCAGGGGGAGGUGGAAUUCCCGGUGUAGUGGUGAAAUGCGUAGAUAUCGGGAGGAACACCAGUGGCGAAGGCGGCCUCCUAGGCUGUUGCUGACGCUGAGGCCCGAAAGCGUGGGGAGCAAACAGGAUUAGAUACCCUGGUAGUCCACGCCAUAAACUAUGGACACUAGGUAUAGGGAGUAUCGACCC
rnacentral:rRNA from 1 species